rnacentral:rRNA from 1 species
AUUGAACGCUGGCGGCAGGCCUAACACAUGCAAGUCGAACGAGUGGCGGACGGGUGAGUAAUGUCUGGGAAACUGCCCGAUGGAGGGGGCUAACUACUGGAAACGGUAGCUAAUACCGCAUACCCUCGGAUGUGCCCAGAUGGGAUUAGCUAGUAGGGGGGGUAACGGCUCACCUAGGCGACGAUCCCUAGCUGGUCUGAGAGGAUGACCAGCCCAACUGGAACUGAGACACGGUCCAGAUUCCUACGGGAGGCAGAAGUGGGGAAUCUUGCACAAUGGGGGCAAGCCUGAUGCAGCCAUGCGGCGUGUAUGAAGACGCGCUUCGGGUUGUAAAGUACUUUCAGCGGGGAGGCGUUACCCGCAGAAGAAGCACCGGCUAACUACGUGCCAGCAGCCGCGGUAAUAC